GACGUAGGAGGCGAGCGUUAUCCGGAUUUACUGGGCGUAAAGCGCACGCAGGCGGCUUCGUUAGUCGGAUGUGAAAGCUCCUGGCUUAACUGGGAGAGGCCAUUCGAUACUGCGAGGCUUGAGGCAGGGAGAGGGGUGUGGAAUUCCCGGUGUAGUGGUGGAAUGCGUAGAUAUCGGGAGGAACACCUGUGGCGAAAGCGGCACCCUGGCCCUCGCCUGACGCUGAGGUGCGAAAGCGUGGGGAG
rnacentral:rRNA from 1 species